rnacentral:SRP_RNA from 1 species
AGGCAUAAUGGCCCAUACCUGUGGUCCUUGCUGCUAGGAAGGCUAAGGCUGGUGGAUUUCUUGAGUUGGGGAUCUCCGAGCUACGGUAGGGCUAACGCCAAUCAGAUGUCAACAGUAAGUCUGACACAAAUAUGGUGGGCUCCCAGGAGUGGAGAACUACCAGGCUGCCUAAGGAGGAACAAACUGGCCCAGGUUGGAAAAGUAGAGCAAGUUAAAGCUUCCGUGGCAAGUCAUAUUGGAAUCAGUCCUAUGGUAGCUGUUGCAUUUCCUGCCUGGGCAAGGUAGAGAGAGACAGUCUCAA